ACACUGAUUCACACCCACACCAUUGCUGUUUUCGUGCUAACACCUGCGCCACCCAUGCAUCUAACCGUUCACGCCAUCUGGUUUUCCGAUACUUUAAACCAUUGACUAAGUACAAGAUAGACCUAAUAUUCGAUUUUGUUAUUUGGAACUAAAAGGAACUUGGAAUAUAGAAGUAGACUAAAAUCUCAAAUUCAAUUUAAGCUUGGUAAAAUCCAAAAUGACUUCGUAAAAAUCUAGAAACUGUAGAUGCCAAUCUAUUAGAAGAAUUAAGCAUAAGAAGAAUCUUUCCAAACUCGCGAGCGAAUUGCCUUCUCGUAACAGGCGAUGGGUGAAUCAGAAUUAUCGUCGAAUCAGAAAUAGAACGUCGUGCAAUAUUGGCGACACCAUACGGAGUUAGUCGAAAGCAGACGUUUAAUGGCGAUUCGAAAAAGAGUGGCAAAUCGCUGCACUGUAGUACACAGAAGAAAUAUUAGCUUCACUUGUCUUACAGUCUAAUACAUUAAAUAUAAGAGUACUGUAAUUUUUUUUUAAUAAUAUUCAGAAAAAAUAAAUUUAUUUGGUUCGUUCACGCCGUUUACAGUUAAAGGGAGUAUGGGACGAAAGCUCGGGGGCUAAUUAGGAUGAUAAGAUCGCAAAAGGAGCGCUUAAAAGAUACAAUUGAUUCAUAUAUUUGCCUAUGUCGUAUGCUACUGCUCUCUUUGAACACAAGAAACGCAUCUGUCCUUGUUGCACAUUACAACCCUCUUUGUCUAGGACCCUUCAUAUAGUCUGUUCUUGCCGCAUAAUCUUGUGUUCUUUGUCUACGGACAAACCACGUAAUGCCAUCUAUCCUCGCAUGCCCCAAGUCGCUGUUCCUUCCACCUUCGGUAGAUGGCAGCACAUGGUUUGUCGCACAAUCUUGUAUUCUUUGUCUACGGACACACCAUGUGGUGCCAUCUAUCCUCGCAUUCCCCAAGUCGCUGUUCCUUCCUCCUUCAACAGAUGUCAGCACAUGAUUUGUUCGUAGACAAAGAGCGCAAACUUGUGCGAUAAGGACACGAAUAUAUAAACAUAUUAGGCAGAGGAAGCGAUACUGUGCAAUAAGGACAGAUAUAUAUUUAUUGUUACACGAAGACAGCGGUAGUAUACGGCAAAGAUAAACAAUACGAGCAAUACUAGACGAGAAGGUUUUGCAACGUGCGAAUUUUAUUGACAAGAACUGUUGAGUCAAACAUGGCUGUUCUAAGCAAUGGUUUGUUGAUGUUUUUUUAAUUUUCUUCCAAACACAAUUUCAAAUGCAACUUUUAAAACACAAAAUUUGUGGCAUGCGAAUUAAGCAGAAAUAAGUUUUCAAUUGUUACGAAUCUGGGCUUCCAGAAUUUCUGCUUGGACGAUCUAGCAUACAACAUAAAUCUUAGGUAACGCCAAGCCAUCCACCGCGCCUAAUACUAGGCAACUCUCCAUCCGCCUUUCAUUUUUCUUCCGUCCCACUUAUGCAAAUGUCUAUACAUACUCAUUUAUAGCUUUAAGACGGGUUGUAAACGGAUUUGUAAACGUAAUUUAUAAGAAUUUCAUUAUAAAAGUAUAGCAAGACUUACAUUAUUAUGUAUAUACAUUUAGACUAUCGUAUUUUUUCGCGUAUUAAUUACUUUUAAGUAGAAUUGAAUCAAUUAUUAAUGGUUAAGAAUAUCAUGAGACGCACAGAGUUAAGCUAUAUUAUUAUUAAGUUAUAUUAAUAUUCGUAAUAGAGUUUAUACAAUUUAUAUAAUUUGUACACUGUACAUUACUGAAUUAUUUCAGUAAACGUUUAAUUAAAGUUAAUCAGCAGUUUAAUCAUUUCAUCGCCUGCCCAACUAUCGUAGUAUAGUUGGCCUGGCCAAUCCUAAUCCUUUAACGAGAAAUAAGGUAGCGGAACUGUAAAACAAAGCUCUAAAAUUCGAAUCUCGAAAAAUAGCCUUGUUCACCAUUAAGUUCGCGUAAUUCACGAUGAAUGGGUCGUUUUCUAAAAUUCCCGCUGUUAUUGGAAAUGACGUCACAUUCCAGGCUUUCGUCAAAGUUGAUAUUUUCGAUCAAAUUGUAGGACCGCUUUUGCGAUUUUGUAUCAGGAAAACAUGACGUCACAGGAAGUGGCACGAAUCCGGCGAUUUUUGGAAAUGACGUCAUAUUUAAGGAAUUCUGGCGAUUCACGAACCAAGGUUUUCGAUGUUUUUUUAUCAGGAAAACAGGACGUCACAGGAGGUGGAGCAAAUUCAGCGAUUCUGGAAAAUGACGUCAUAUCUAGGAAUUGUGGCGAUUCUGAAAAAUGACGUGACAUUCUAGGAAUUUGCUUAAAUUUUACUUCAAUUUUCGAAGCUUUCGAAGAUCUCUUAUCAGGAGAACAUGACAGCAUAGAAGUUGGCACAAUUUUUACGAUUCCCGGAAAUAACGUCAUACUCCUGGAAUUUUUCGGAAUCGUCUUGGGUGAUCCUAAUUAUUUCCCAAUUUAAUUUUUUGUUUUGUUUAGGAUUUCGGAUAGUGAAAAAUAUAAAUAACAAGAUUGUAAAA